GUUAUAUGGUCAAGUGAAGAAGCGCAUACGGUGGAUGCCUUGGCAGUCAGAGGCGAUGAAAGACGUGGUAGCCUGCGAAAAGCUUCGGGGAGUCGGCAAACAGACUGUGAUCCGGAGAUGUCUGAAUGGGGGAACCCAGCCAUCAUAAGAUGGUUAUCUUACACUGAAUACAUAGGUGUAAGAGGCGAACCAGGGGAACUGAAACAUCUAAGUACCCUGAGGAAAAGAAAUCAACCGAGAUUCCCUUAGUAGUGGCGAGCGAACGGGGACCAGCCCUUAAGUUGUAUUGAGAUUAGCGGAACGCUCUGGAAAGUGCGGCCAUAGUGGGUGAUAGCCCUGUACGCGAAAAUCCCUUUGCAAUGAAAUCGAGUAGGACGGGGCACGAGAAACCUUGUCUGAAUAUGGGGGGACCAUCCUCCAAGGCUAAAUACUACUGACUGACCGAUAGUGAACCAGUACCGUGAGGGAAAGGCGAAAAGAACCGCGGAGAGCGGAGUGAAAUAGAUCCUGAAACCGUAUGCGUACAAGCAGUGGGAGCCCACUUUGUUGGGUGACUGCGUACCUUUUGUAUAAUGGGUCAGCGACUUAUUUUCAGUGGCGAGCUUAACCGAAUAGGGGAGGCGUAGCGAAAGCGAGUCUUAAUAGGGCGUCUAGUCGCUGGGAAUAGACCCGAAACCGGGCGAUCUAUCCAUGGGCAGGUUGAAGGUUGGGUAACACUAACUGGAGGACCGAACCGACUACCGUUGAAAAGUUAGCGGAUGACCUGUGGAUCGGAGUGAAAGGCUAAUCAAGCUCGGAGAUAGCUGGUUCUCCUCGAAAGCUAUUUAGGUAGCGCCUCAUGUAUCACUGUAGGGGGUAGAGCACUGUUUCGGCUAGGGGGUCAUCCCGACUUACCAAACCGAUGCAAACUCCGAAUACCUACAAGUGCCGAGCAUGGGAGACACACGGCGGGUGCUAACGUCCGUCGUGAAAAGGGAAACAACCCAGACCGUCAGCUAAGGUCCCAAAGUCAUGGUUAAGUGGGAAACGAUGUGGGAAGGCUUAGACAGCUAGGAGGUUGGCUUAGAAGCAGCCACCCUUUAAAGAAAGCGUAAUAGCUCACUAGUCGAGUCGGCCUGCGCGGAAGAUGUAACGGGGCUCAAACCAUGCACCGAAGCUACGGGUAUCAUCUUAUGAUGAUGCGGUAGAGGAGCGUUCUGUAAGCCUGUGAAGGUGAGUUGAGAAGCUUGCUGGAGGUAUCAGAAGUGCGAAUGCUGACAUGAGUAACGACAAUGGGUGUGAAAAACACCCACGCCGAAAGACCAAGGUUUCCUGCGCAACGUUAAUCGACGCAGGGUUAGUCGGUCCCUAAGGCGAGGCUGAAAAGCGUAGUCGAUGGAAAACAGGUUAAUAUUCCUGUACUUCUGGUUAUUGCGAUGGAGGGACGGAGAAGGCUAGGCCAGUCUGGCGUUGGUAGUCCAGGUUUAAGGUGGUAGGCUGAGAUCUUAGGUAAAUCCGGGAUCUUAAGGCCGAGAGCUGAUGACGAGUGUUCUUUUAGAACAUGAAGUGGUUGAUGCCAUGCUUCCAAGAAAAGCUUCUAAGCUUCAGGUAACCAGGAACCGUACCCCAAACCGACACAGGUGGUUGGGUAGAGAAUACCAAGGCGCUUGAGAGAACUCGGGUGAAGGAACUAGGCAAAAUGGCACCGUAACUUCGGGAGAAGGUGCGCCGGUGAGGGUGAAGCAUUUACUGCGUAAGCCCACGCCGGUCGAAGAUACCAGGCCGCUGCGACUGUUUAUUAAAAACACAGCACUCUGCAAACACGAAAGUGGACGUAUAGGGUGUGACGCCUGCCCGGUGCCGGAAGGUUAAUUGAUGGGGUUAGCGCAAGCGAAGCUCUUGAUCGAAGCCCCGGUAAACGGCGGCCGUAACUAUAACGGUCCUAAGGUAGCGAAAUUCCUUGUCGGGUAAGUUCCGACCUGCACGAAUGGCGUAACGAUGGCGGCGCUGUCUCCACCCGAGACUCAGUGAAAUUGAAAUCGCUGUGAAGAUGCAGUGUAUCCGCGGCUAGACGGAAAGACCCCGUGAACCUUUACUAUAGCUUUGCACUGGACUUUGAAUUUGCUUGUGUAGGAUAGGUGGGAGGCUUUGAAGCGUGGACGCCAGUCUGCGUGGAGCCAACCUUGAAAUACCACCCUGGCAACUUUGAGGUUCUAACUCAGGUCCGUUAUCCGGAUCGAGGACAGUGUAUGGUGGGUAGUUUGACUGGGGCGGUCUCCUCCUAAAGAGUAACGGAGGAGUACGAAGGUGCGCUCAGACCGGUCGGAAAUCGGUCGUAGAGUAUAAAGGCAAAAGCGCGCUUGACUGCGAGACAGACACGUCGAGCAGGUACGAAAGUAGGUCUUAGUGAUCCGGUGGUUCUGUAUGGAAGGGCCAUCGCUCAACGGAUAAAAGGUACUCCGGGGAUAACAGGCUGAUACCGCCCAAGAGUUCAUAUCGACGGCGGUGUUUGGCACCUCGAUGUCGGCUCAUCACAUCCUGGGGCUGAAGCCGGUCCCAAGGGUAUGGCUGUUCGCCAUUUAAAGUGGUACGCGAGCUGGGUUUAGAACGUCGUGAGACAGUUCGGUCCCUAUCUGCCGUGGACGUUUGAGAUUUGAGAGGGGCUGCUCCUAGUACGAGAGGACCGGAGUGGACGAACCUCUGGUGUUCCGGUUGUCACGCCAGUGGCAUUGCCGGGUAGCUAUGUUCGGAAAAGAUAACCGCUGAAAGCAUCUAAGCGGGAAACUUGCCUCAAGAUGAGAUCUCACUGGAACCUUGAGUUCCCUGAAGGGCCGUCGAAGACUACGACGUUGAUAGGUUGGGUGUGUAAGCGCUGUGAGGCGUUGAGCUAACCAAUACUAAUUGCCCGUGAGGCUUGACCAUAUAACACCCAAGCAAUU
rnacentral:rRNA from 1 species